rnacentral:rRNA from 1 species
AGUAGCGAAAGAGGGGUGAGAAUCCCCUCCACCGAAUGCCUAAGGUUUCCUGAGGAAGGCUCGUCCGCUCAGGGUUAGUCGGGACCUAAGCCGAGGCCGAAAGGCGUAGGCGAUGGACAACAGGUUGAUAUUCCUGUACCACCUCCUCACCAUUUGAGCAAUGGGGGGACGCAGGAGGAUAGGGUAAGCGCGGUAUUGGAUAUCCGCGUCCAAGCAGUUAGGCUGGGAAAUAGGCAAAUCCGUUUCCCRUAAGGCUGAGCUGUGAUGGCGAGCGAAAUAUAGUAGCGAAGUUCCUGAUUCCACACUGCCAAGAAAAGCCUCUAGCGAGGUGAGAGGUGCCCGUACCGCAAACCGACACAGGUAGGCGAGGAGAGAAUCCUAAGGUGAUCGAGAGAACUCUCGUUAAGGAACUCGGCAAAAUGACCCCGUAACUUCGGGAGAAGGGGUGCUCUGUUAGGGUGCAAGCCCGAGAGAGCCGCAGUGAAUAGGCCCAGGCGACUGUUUAGCAAAAACACAGGUCUCUGCGAAGCCGUAAGGCGAAGUAUAGGGGCUGACGCCUGCCCGGUGCUGGAAGGUUAAGAGGAGCGCUUAGCGUAAGCGAAGGUGCGAAUUGAAGCCCCAGUAAACGGCGGC